rnacentral:rRNA from 1 species
UACGGGGGGAGCAAGCGUUGUUCGGAUUUACUGGGCGUAAAGGGCGCGUAGGCGGUAGCACAAGUCAGUUGUGAAAUCUCCGGGCUUAACUCGGAAAGGUCAACUGAUACUGUGCGACUAGAGUGCAGAAGGGGCAACUGGAAUUCUCGGUGUAGCGGUGAAAUGCGUAGAUAUCGAGAGGAACACCUGCGGCGAAGGCGGGUUGCUGGGCUGACAAUGACGCUGAGGCGCGAAAGCCAGGGGAGCGAACGGG